CCUACGGGUGGCAGCAGGGAGGAAUAGUGGUCAAUGGGCGAGAGCCGGAACCAGCCAAGUCGCGGGAAGGAUGAAGGAGCUAUGGUUUGUAAACUUCUGUUAUAGGGGAAUAAAGUGAGGAACGUGUGACGUUUUGUAUGUACCAUAUGAAUAAGCAUCGGCUAACGCCGUGCCAGCAGCCGCGGUAAUACUGACGAUGCGAGCGUUAUCCGGAUUUAUUGGGUUUAAAGGGUGCGUAGGUGGUUAAUUAAGUCAGCGGUGAAAGUUUGUGGCUCAACCAUAAAAUUGCCGUUGAAACUGGUUGCCUUGCGUCUAUUUGCGGUCGGCGUACUGCG
rnacentral:rRNA from 1 species